AAAGCUAGUCCAAGACAUACUGUACGCGCGUAACCGCGCGAAGUUGCUUUCUAAUGCUUCGCUUCGCAUCGCGUUCAGUAUGUCACGGCCUUUAUCAUCUCAUUGGACAAGAUUAUUAUUAAAAUUGUUAAAAUUGUUUCUAGGAGUUAUAUCAAUUUUUAAUGAUGAUAAAAUAAUCUCAUUCGAUCCUUGGAUUGCGGCUCAAAUAUUAUAAUCUUGCUGAAAUACAAGGGGAAGCCAAAAGUUCUUUUCCUCACUGUGUACGUACGCUAUAGAUUGUAAUUGUGAACAGUAAUAGAUUACUAUCUUACAAAUCGAGUGCCUUUUUUGUUUUGACUGGAGUUAAAUAUGAUAGCGGAAGAAUAUGUCACAUUGGACAAAACUGAGUAUCGAGCUGUGUGAUACGGUUCCUUUAUCUUCGAGGGAAAACUAUACAAAGUUGUGUAUGACAAGAACAUCCAUCAUAUGAGACUGUAUCAGGUAAAAUGAUGGAAACUGAAUUUCAAACGUUGUCACAUCAGCUUACAAGAUGAUUUUAAAAAAAAAGACAUCCAACAAGGUCACGUCUGUGUUUUCGGAGAGCCAAAGUGUCAUGUUGAUGACUAACGGAUAUACGACAAGGGGCAAUAUGGCACUUUGGCCGAUUAAGGGGCAGGAAUUCGCUACACAAGUUACGAGAUAGUAUUAAAGAAAACACGGUUGGCUGCGAAAAGGUGUGUCGCUACUAGCCGACAAUGCACCGCACACCACCCGCAAAUAUGACUACGAAACCUGGUCCCAUCCCCGUAUUCUUCCGAGCCGGCACCUUCAGAUCUCUUCCCAUUUUAAACUAUGAGAAAACAUUUACGGGGAAGUUUUUCAGCGCAAGAAGUCAUUAGACUAGAUUUGGAAGAAGACCAGCUUUCCAUCGCCAAGCCAGUUUGACUCCAAAUCUGCCGACUUCUAUAAAGAUUGGAUUAAACGGCUGUUCCAUACGUGCGAGAAGUAUUUGGCCGUAGGAAAUGAAUAGGUAGAGAAAGAAGAGUGGAAGGACCAAAUUUCAGAUCCUAACAUAUCCGUGUCACGAUAAGAACUUUGGUUUAAUAUUAGUCCAUACUAUUUUAAACGCAGUUAGUUGAGCGGAGAAUUCAAAUUCACAAUUUAAUUUUGAUAGGAUAUGGAAAAACCAAAGCUUUUUCGUUCGACAACUCUCUCAAGCUUUUUUUACUUUAUAGAUUUAAUUAUUCUACUACAUAAUAAAGAAUUUCUGCCCAGCAACGAUUCAGUUCCGAAAAUCAUAAAGUCAACACAGGAGCGAGGUGGUGAAUCGUAUGGUGCUUUACGGAUCUGUUUGGGUGGCACGGCCGACCGACGAAAAC
rnacentral:lncRNA from 1 species